rnacentral:misc_RNA from 1 species
UUGCUAUCAAUACUAGUUAUUUUCCUCGUAUUUUGCCAAUUUACACGUAGUGUUUUUAUGAUAUGUGGAGUGUAAAAGUUAAAAAAACUGCUGAAAUAUUGUUAAAUUGUUAGUGAAAUUAGUUCCUUUUACAAUCAGUGUACGCAUAUAAAAAAAAAAAAUGUUUGCAAAUUUGAAAAACAAAUUAAUAGAAGAGGUGAAGGCGUCUCCGUCGAAAUUCCAACAAUUUGCGGCUGCUGUUUCGUCGUCGGCCAGUACAACCCCAAGUGGUUCGGAAUCAACUACGACAACGACAACUAACGAAAAUUUCUUUAGCAUUACAGAGGAAGAUACUCCACAAAAUUCGCCAUAUAAACCUUUGAAACUACCACCUGGUUCCGUAGGCGGGCGAACAUACCAUAAUGGACCUAUCGGCGGUGCUAUACCACGUACUCGAAAACUCUCCAACUCAUCAAUGGCCAGCGAUGUUUCCUUUCGUUUGCCCACCUAUGAUUCACCACCUGUGUACCAUCUGCAAUCAGAUUUGGAGUCUAAUUGUAGUGAGCUGGAAGAUACAGCUUCUACCGCAAAACUGGAAGUGGUAACUAAGGAACAACUAUACGAUGCUUAUAAAAAAUCGUUGGAUCGUUACCAUAAAUAUCGAAGCCGAUAUACUGAUUUGGCUAAAAGAUAUAAGGAUUUAGAACGUGACAGUACCAAAGCUCGGUCCGUACUUGUGGAGACCCAGGAGAAGGCUAUUCGCCGCAUCAGUGAAUUGCGUGAACAAUGUUCGUUGGAGCAGCAAGCAAAAGCGCACCUAGAAGAGGCUUUGCGCAUGGAAAUGGAUGAUAUGCAAUGUAAAAUGCAAGCAUAUCAAACUAAACUGAAAUUACUUGGUGAAAAUCCCGACAAUGUGUCUGCAAUACUCCUAACAAAUGAGUCCAAUGAUACAACGGGGGGAGCAUCACUUAUAGAUUUGGAUGAUAACAAUAGCAAAACCAACAUAGCACAUUCAGAAGAUUUGAAUGAAAAGAAAAUAGAAGAUAAUCUUGAAAGUUUGAAAAAUGGACAAGAUUUUUCACAAAUAGAACAACUGAAGAAGGAGUUGGAUAAUCGGGAACGCAAAAUCGAAGAGCUGAUUGCUAAAAUGUCGAAUGCCGAAGAUACCAUAUCACAAUUACGUAAGCAAGAAGAAGAAAACGCGUUGUUAUUGGCUCAAACAAAACAGGCUAUUCACUCGGAGUUAGAAAACAAGGAAAGCGAAGUAAAAAGGCUAACAAUUAAAAUCAACGAAAUGCAAAAGGAAGAGCAAGACGCUGCAAAAAAAGAAAAACAAUUAAGUGUUCAAGCGAGUGAACUCAAUGAAUUGCAUGAGAAGUUAAAGAAUCUACAUAUUGCCAAACAAGAAACUGAUGCCAAACUAAUUGCUUCGGAACACAUGUUGGGACAAAUGAAAGAACAGCUUCUUGUAAAAGAUAAUGCAAUAAAAGCUUUUGAACAGAAAUUGUCAAAAGGGCUUAAGGACAGCGAACAGAAAUUGGAUGAGUUGCGACAGCAAAAUGUACAAUUGAAUGAAAUGUUACAGCGAUAUCAACAAAACGAAGUGUCACUUGCCGAGAUCGAUAACGAAUUGAACAGAACGAAAAACGAAAAUGACAUCCUCAAAAUAGCAACAGCCGAGAAUGAACGAAAACUACACGAACUCGAAGAAGAAGUACGCAGUCAAAAGGAGCAACUAGAACGACAUCAAAAAGAGCGGGCAGCUGAAGAAGAUCGUCGGAAACUUAUGUCUGCUCGAGAGGAUGAAUUAACUAAGUUGUGGCAAGAAGUGCAAGCGGAUAAUGAAGUGCAAAGACAAAUAGUAAAACGUUUACAGUCCGAAUUGAAAAUAUCUUAUGAACGAAACCAGAAUAAUGAAAGCGAAACGAUUACUGCACUCAAAACGGAAUUACACAUGGCAAACGAAGAUCUAGAGGGGAAGGUAAAAACUUUAAAGGAUCAAUUGGCUGGCAAAGAAAAAGAACUAAAGUCAAGUGCAAAUAAACUAGCAAAACAAAAGAAACAAUUUGAGAACCAACAAAGUCGGAUACGCGAUCAAAGUGGUGAAAUUGAAAUGCUACGAACUGAAUUGAAUAAACAUGAACAACAUUUGACUAAUCUCCAGAAUGAAUCGCAAGCACGUGAACAGGAAUCCGAAGCGGAGAAAACUAAGUUAAAGGCCCAAGUUCAAUCUAUAUUACAGGAUAUAACGCACAUUCAAGAUGAAAUGCGUAUUGUGAAGGAAUCUCACGAUGAGUUGGAAGUAGAGAAACUGAAACUUGAACAAAGGAUCGAAAAUAUGCAACGGGAAGCACAGGAUACAAGCGUCGACACUCAACUUUGGCGAGAUCAAUUGAUUGACACUGAAGACAAACUGCGCCUUGUAGAAUUAAAAUUGCAGAAAGUCGAGACUGAAAAUUCGCAAUUAGCAGAGAGGAAUUGCUUGCUAGAAGAGCAGAACAAUCGUUUUGAAAAACAAUUAGCCGAGCGCGAACGCCAAAAGGACACCGAAGAGGCAAAUGCAAAUGACCUUCGCUUGCAGUUGGAUAGCAACCAGAUGACUUUGCGUAAAUUAAACGAAAAAAUGUCAGAAAUACUGGAUGAAAAUUCUCGUCUGCACAAUACACAAGAGUUAAUGGAUCACGACUACCGAACUUUGCAAGAUAAAUUUAAUGCGUUAGAAAAAGAGAAGUUAAUGGCAGAGGAUGUACAAAUAGGUUUACAAGAAGAACUGGAACAACUGAGAGAACACAAGUUAGUAUUGGAAAACAAGUUGCGUGAAACCGUGGAGCAGCUUCAACAAACCGAAGAGCAAUGUGCAGAACAAAAGAAGAAUACUGAAGCAAUCGAAAAAGAACUGAAGGAGAUGGUAAUAGCUCGAGAACGCUUGGAAAACCAGAAUCAAAUAAUGAGUGCAGAAUUAAAUGAACUUCGGGCUGUACAGUCGGAUGAUGAGAAAUUGCACAAUUUGAUGUGCGAACAAAAACGACGUAUCGAAGAUUUAGAACACGAAUUGAUUGAUAGAGAAAAAUCUGCGAAAGCGAAUAUUGAAAUUGUAGAUAAAGAAAAUAAACAAUUGAAUGAAAAAUUGGGUACAUUAGAAGCAAGUAGAGAAGAGUUAGAAGUCACUAAGAAAGAAAUCCUACUUUUGAAAUCGCAAAAAGAAGAGCUAAAUCGAGAUUUGUGUAUUUUGAACACAGAACUGAAACUAAGUCAGGACGAUAACCAAGAACUUGAGAGACAGUUGACGCUGUUGAAGGCAUUGGAGCAAGAGAAGGAAAUCAGUGAAAAAGAACACAAAACAUUAACAGAUGAAAUAAAUAAAUUGAAAGAGGAAUCAAAAAUGCAUAUUGAAGAAGCGCAAAAGAGGGCGUUGGAAUUGGAAGAAAUAAAGCAGAAGUUGCACAUUUCAAGCGAAAUAAAUGAAAAACUUGAAAACACCGAGUUGGAGGUGCAGAAAAUGCGAGAAUUAGAAAAGAAGUUACGCGCCGACACUGCUAACGACGCUGAAUUGGCUAAUCAAAAAAUCCAUGAGCUUGAAGAACAGUUGCAUACUGCCAAGAGCGAUAUUGAACGAUUGCACGAGAGCAAUGACGCUAUUCAAGUGGAAAUGGAUAAGAUACAAAACAAAAAUGAGCUACAAGUGCAGAGUUUAGAAGUAACAAUACAACAAUUGAAAGAACACAAUGAAAAACUUCAGCAAAAGCUUGCCAGCCAAAAGGUUGACGGCGAAAAACUUGCUAAUUUCGAACAAAUGCAAAUUGAAAACGAGUAUCUGAAUAAGCAUGUGAAACAAUUGGAAACCGAACUCACGGCACAGCACACAGAAGCGUCUAGUCAGUUGCAAGAAGUCCAAGACCUGCGGGAGAAAUUAAAAUCACUACAGUGCGAACUUUAUGUGCUACGGGAAAAUGCCGAAAAACACGAUGCACAGCUUGCCGAGAAACAAAAAGUAAUUGAUAGUGCUGAGAAUGAACGUACACAAUUGCGUGAAAUGCUGACGAAUGAACGGGCAGAGUUGGAACGUCAAGUAGUGCAUGCCAAGUAUAUUACGGAGCAAAAUGAUGCUAUACAAAGUGACUUAUUACACAAGCAACACCAAUUAACAGAAGUGGAACAACAAUUGCACGAUAUUAAAGCUGAACUCGAAGCGGUAAACUCCACACAUGCCGCAGACAUUGUUAUUAAAACAAAAGAAAUAGAUUCCUUGCGUUCCGAAUUACUACAAAUCGCAGUUGAACUCAAUGCAAAGGCGCAACUUCAGGAAGAGCUGGACGCUUUGCGUGUCGAACUGGCAGAACAUAACCAGUUAAAAGAACUACAACUAUCGCAGGCAACUGUCGAAAAUGGACAAAAAUCAAUUUUAGCUAGUGAUGCCGAGAAUUUGCGACGUAUUAAUGAAGCCUUACAACGUGAAUUGGAAGAUUUAAAACAUAAAUCAACGUCUGAAAUCACCGAGCUGCAACAAGAGAUUGAAGAUAUGCAAAGUAAUGCGAGACAUAUGACUGAAAAAUUGGCAGAAGUUGAAAAAUUACAUAGCGCCUUGACGACACAACAAGUGUUGGCAAACACGAAUGCUGACCAAGAAUCUUUACAGGCUACUCGCGAAAUUGCCACAGGCGGGGAAAUAUCUAAGUUAAAAGCGGAAGAGCAGUUGCAGCGAGAAAAGGCUGAGUUGGCGGCGAAAUUACGCGAGAUUAUGAAUGAAGUGCGUGAUGUGUCUGAACGUAACCUUUUCCUUGAGCAGCAAUGCGAAAACUAUUUGAUAUUGGAACAAUCAAACGAACGUUUAAAGCUGCAAAAUGCCAAACUGUCACGUCAGUUAGACGAAACAUUGGUGUCAAUGCAACACAAUGAAGGCAUUACAGCGAAUACGGAAUUCGAGUACUUAAAGAAUAUUAUGUUUCAGUAUUUAACGGGAUCUGCCAAUGGCAACAACGAAACGCUUGUCAAAGUGAUAUCAGCUGUUCUGAAAUUCUCACCUCAACAAACCCAAGUGGCACUUGAAAAGGAGCACCAGCGACGUUCACUGAUAAACAAAAUUCUAUAGCAAGAAUUGGAGCAAGCCUACGCAGCUACAUGGUGGUAGCAAUAACAUUGGUUUGCCAACUCGAAAAUAUAUUGAUCUAUUAAUGCAUAUGUACCGCGUACACAGAUCCUUAAGGAGUGCCGGUUUAGCUUCUUACCCGUAUUAAGCAUUUGGUAUAAAAUGGGAUUGCUAAUUAACAGUUAUUGAUUUGUUUUCGAUUUUGGCUACUGAUAACGCAUUUUAAGUGUAUAAAUAUUCUCAACUGACUAAUUCAAAUAAGUACCUAUGUAUAUCGGCAGUUCGUAAUAUGUUUUGACAUACGGGCGUAAUGCAGCUUAAAUAUGUGUAAAUUGUAUAAAUAAACUGUACGCCAAUUAAAAAACGUUUGUAUAGACAUAGUUAUUGAUUUGCUAAGAAUUUACAUUCAUGUAUGUAUACAUAUAUACAUACAUAUAAAUGUAUAUAUAUAAAAUGUUCAAAUGUAUUACUGUUAUUUUGUUCGAUUUCGUUUGCGUUUGUAUUUAAAAGGCAUUAAGCUGUUAUCAAUUGUGCAAUCUUGUAAUGGAAUUGUAUGUGCUUUUUUUGAGUCACAUCCAACGUAAAUAUUGAAAAUAUUAAAUAAGUCAAAAUAUAUCAAAUAUUGUUGUAAUGUAAGUUUUGCAAAUAACCUACGAAUGUUUUUAGUUUGAAGUAAAAAAUAUAUAUACAUAUUCAAAAAUUUUGAAAAAUAAA